UAGGGAAUUUUCCACAAUGGGCGAAAGCCUGAUGGAGCAACGCCGCGUGCAGGAUGAAUGCCUUCGGGUUGUAAACUGCUUUUCUCUGUGACGAAUAUGACGGUAACAGAGGAAUAAGGAUCGGCUAAUUCCGUGCCAGCAGCCGCGGUCAUACGGAAGAUCCAAGCGUUAUCCGGAAUUACUGGGCGUAAAGAGUUGCGUAGGUGGCAGAGUAAGUAGAUAGUGAAAGCGUGUGGCUCAACCAUACUCACAUUGUCUAAACUGCUCAGCUAGAGAGUGAGAGAGGUAGCUGGAAUUCCUAGUGUAGGGGUAAAAUCCGUUGAUAUUAGGAGGAACACCGAUGGCGUAGGCAGGCUACUGGCUCAUUUCUGACACUAAGGCACGAAAGCGUGGGGAGCAA
rnacentral:rRNA from 1 species